AGGCAUGAUAUUAACAAUGUUAAUGCACCGGAUCCCAUCAGAACUCUAUAGUUAAGUGCACUUCGACUAGAGUAUUACUGGGAUGGGUGACCUCCCGAGAAGUCCUAGUGUUGCACCCU
rnacentral:rRNA from 1 species